GCAUUGUAUGAAAAGAGAGAAGGUUAGCACUUCCUUAACAAGGAUGGAAGAGGCCCUAGGGCCUGACAACACACAUGAUUAAGGCAUCGCCACCUACUUAGGCAUCAUGUAACCAUCAUUUUUA
rnacentral:ncRNA from 1 species